GGCGCUGUGGCUGAGUGGUUAUAGCGAUAGACUAGAACUUGAACCUCCGUCGGAGAAUCGUACCUAAUCUAUUUCCUUCGGGAGCGCAGGUUCGAAUCCUGCCGGCGUCG